rnacentral:lncRNA from 1 species
UUCUAUUAAAAUUCAUUGAUAAAAAAGAUGGCAUAAUGCCAAUACAUAUACCAGUCAUAAACUGGUCAGCUUUGAUAAGUUUCACUUACUAUUUUUAGGCUUCAUUUCAACUUGCACAACUUGCACAUUGCAACUUGCAAAUCACAACUUGCACAAUUAGGUAAGCUAAUCUAUCAAUCUUAUCAGCACCGAAUGCAUUAAAUACAUUAUCUACUUGGUUCAAAUUAAACUAAGUUACAAAAUAUUACUUAAAGUAACAAAAUGAAACUGAAAUUGAACAGUAGCAUCAACUUCAGUAGCUGCACGUGCUUUAUCUGGGAAUACCACAGCAGCUUGAUCUUCAUACUUCAUCUACAUAACUUGGACUACAUUUACUUCAUCUGCAUAACUUAUGUGGCAUUGUCUGCUCCUUAGCUGCUUCAUGUGCUGCAUGCAAGCCAACUUCAAUAGAUUUGCAAACAAAACUUGGCAGGGUUGUAUUAGGGAAUGGAAGAGAAACCACCUCUCGGUUGGUAUAAGAUUUAAUACUGAUGAUGGUAGAAACAGUACAACCGACUUUGCUGCCAUAGGUGGUGUAUCAUGGGGGUUAUUGGUUUAGAAAAUUUGCGCAUAACCUUAAUUGUUGCUCAAUCAUUGAAGCAGAAAUGUAGGAGGCGUAUGAUGGUUUUUAUAACAUGCUUGGAACAUGAGGGUGAAGAGGAGAGCCUUGCAGUGGUCCAGCUACUUCGCAAUAAAAUGGAAAUGCAGAGCAGCAAUGCAAUCUAUCCUUCAAAUAGAAGUAUGUUGGAAAUGGGUCUAAACGUUAAUAUUAUAUAAGUCUACAUAGAAGGAAAGGGUCUUCCUUCCUACUUCACGUUUCAUUUACUAAACCAAUAAUUGGCUUGAUCAUUCUUGUCUUCAUGGAAGAAGGAAACUGCAAAAGAUAGGAUAAAACUGCCCUCAAAAAAAAAAUUACUAACCUUGAACAACAUUGUGAGGAGGGAUAACUACAAAUUCAAACAUGGACAAUAAAACAAACAUAAAAAAUACCUAAUGGAGUCUUAUAAAUAAGGAAAUUGCAUGUUAAAACGCUUAUGCAAUUAACAAUUACUACACAUUUACUAAGCCAAUUGGCUUGGUCUUUUUGUCUUCAUGGAACUUGGUAAAGAGAGUGAUGAAACCAUCAUACACCCCACAAAAUGACAGAUAAAAUUACUAACCUUGAACGACAUUGUUGAGAGGGACAGUUGCAAACUUAAAUAUGGACAGUAAAAUGAACAUGAAAAGUACUAAAUAUAUAUAAUUAACGAUAUAUAAAUAAUCUAGUAUGUUGGUAUUAUAAAUUUACUGUAUUUCAAAAUAUAUAUUCUCUUAGAGAGAGAGAGAGAGAGAGAGAGAGAGAGAGAGAGAAGAGGGAGGGAGGGAGGGAGAAGGAGCAUUAGGAGGAUUCUUCUACCAAGAGAGUGACUUAUACUUUCAUAAUAACAGCUUACAAUUUGCUUAAAAAGAAGAGACAAGUGACAAUUUUUGAGUCUUAUGAAAAAGUAAGACUUGUGUUAAAAUGCUUAUACAAUUAACCACUACAUCACAUUUACUAAACCAAUUGGCUUGGUCUUCUUGUUUUCAUGGAAGAACCUGCAAAAGAUAAGGAUGAAACCAUCAUAUACCCCCUUAAAAAAAAACUAAUUCAAUCAACCCGAUGUUACAUAAUUACUAACAUUUAACCAUAUUGUGGGGGAGAGGUAACCAGGAUUUUCUUAGAGAGAGAGAGAGGACAUGUGCAAGAGCAUUAGGAGGAUUCUUCUCAAAAUUGCCAAGACAGUCACUUACACUUUCUUAAUACUGACUUACAAUUAACUUAAAAAAAAGAAGACAAAUAAAAAUUUUGCAGUCUAAUAAACAAGCAAGUCCGUGUGUUAAAAUGCUUAUGCAAUUAACCACUACUUCACAUUUACUAAACCAAUUGGCUUGGUCUUCUUUUUUUCAUUGCGGAACCUGUAAAAGAAAGGGAUGAAACCAUCAUACACACCCUCGAAAAAAAUGACAUAGAUAUAAUUACUAACUUUGAACGACAUUAUUGGGAGGGACAGUUGCGAGCUUAAACAUGGACAGUAAAAUGAACAUGAAAAAUGACAAAUAUAUAUAUAAUCAUCGAUUUCUAAACAAUCCAGUAUGUUGGUGUUAUAAAUGUAGUGUAUUUCAAUAUAUAUUUUGUUAGAGAGGGGGAGAGAGAGAGAGAGAGAGCAUUAGGAGAAUUUUUCUCAAAAUUGUCAAGAAAGUCACUUACACUUUCAUAAUUCCGACUUACAAUUAACUUAAAAAGAAAAACAAAUAACAACUUUAGAGUUUUAUAAAUAAACAAGAAGUGUCUUAAAACACUUACGCUAUUAACCACUACUUAACAUUUGCUAAACCAAUUGGCUUGGUCUUCUUCAUGGAGGAACUUGCAAAAGUGAUGCAACCUAUCCGAGAUGAUAGUGAUGAAACCAUCAUACAACCCCCUCCCCUCCAAAAAAAAAAAAAACAAAAACAUUUUAAUCAACCUUACAUUAUGGAUAAAAUUAUUUACUUUAAACAACAUUAUUGAGAGGGGCAGCUAUAAACUCAAACAUAAAUAGUAAAAUAUAUAUUUUCUUAGAGAGAGAGGACAAGUGGAAGAGCAUUAGAGAGAUUCUUCUCAAAAGUCACUUAUGAAAUUGUUAAGAGAGUCACUUACACUUUCAUAAUACUGACUUAAAACGAAGAGGUAAGUAACAAUUUUAGAUUCUUAUAAACAAGACAGACGUGAUAAAAUGCUUAUGAAAUUAACCACUACUGCCCUCCUACCGUUUAAACAAUGGACACAAAUCCUAAAUAUUGAUGUAUGCUUACUGCAAUUGAACCUAUUCGAAAUUCGAUAACUUUGAAGCUACUUGAACCACUAAUUAGUCAAAAUACCUACAUAUAUUACCAGAAGUAACUGCAGUUGAAGGAAUCUUACACCUGAAACAGUCAAGCUACACUUAUCGAAAUGUAAAACAUUAAUCUAACAAGACAAACACUGACUAGUAUUUUCUUUUUCCUACUUAAGAAGCUUAAAUACUAGUAAAGCCACAGUCUUCCAUGACUGAACAUAUAAAUCAAGAGUGACAGCAAAUCUACUGGAUGUUUCACAUCCUAACUUUCUCUAGAUAAAUAGAACAAUUUUCUUGUUUUGCCUUGACUCUAAAAUCUCUUAUAACCCUAAGCAAUAUCGCAGAUUGUGACCAUUAAUAUCGAAUGGGUUUUAUUCCCACUAACCUUGUUAAUGCUUUACAACACCAAUGAAUUCUAUGCAAUCUUAAAAUUGAGGAGCUCCACAAGUGAAAUCAUGACAGCAAUAACAAUAUUUUUAUAGUAAUUUCUCAAAGAUUCAUCAACUUUCAGUUUAGUAUCUCUGCAAAUCUUUGAUGAUUCUCCAAUUAUACAGACUAGACUUCAAUAAAGCAUUCAUUAUUAUGAUACUCUUGAUUCAGGUUCAUUAAACAAACGGUUUGAAGAACACACACCUGCUAGCCAUUUUGCACCGAAAUAUGCUAAGAGAGAUGUUAGUCACAGUCUUAAAUUAUUGACGGACCCAUGGUUUCAAUAAACCUUUCCAUACCUUCAAAGAAGUAAGUUUUCAAUGGUAAGGACUUGCAAUCGAACUGUAAUGGCCAAUUUUGACCCAGGCACAAGAAUAAAACAAUAAAUAACCAAUUAAUAAAACCUAGUGCCGCCCCUAACCUCUGCCACCAGCUGCCAUGGCAGCACCACCACCUGCUCCCGUUCCAUCGCCUGCAAACAGAGAAAAAGAAGCACGCAACAGAGAACCAAAACCCACACGCAACAAUAAAGGAACAAGCAGGAACGACAAAAAAAAUAGGAGUAAACAAGUCUUGUGAAUCUUAUAAAAACCCGAAAUUUACCUUUGCAUUUUUUUUAGCCACAAACAAAAGGCAGAAACUAUUAAUCUAAAAGAGAUUUUAAGGUGAUUUUUGGUUUUUACAAUAGUUUCUUUCAUCUAGUUCUUGGUUUUGAUUUCAUUUUUUUUCGUGUUUUAGUUCUUUUUUCUUUUUCAUGUACGAAAAUAAACGAAAAGGUAAAGAGAAAGGUAACCUCACCUUGAUCUUCCCACGGACUCAUCGCUGGAGAUCUCUUCUCCAAUGGCCAAAGUCGAAUCGGGGAGAGGGGGGACCUUUCUUUCGAUUUCUUGAGGGUUGAGAAGGCAUGGCCUUCGAAUGUGCCUCAAAACGAGGCUAAGAAGCCCAUCUCCGCACUUUCUGUUCUUUUUAAAAUUGGGGGCUGGAAAUGAAAUUAGAAAAGAAAGGUUUUUUUGUUGUAUAAAUGAUGAUGAUGGAAGGGCGCCGUUUGGUGGAGUGGGGGGUGUGCAUUCUCCCUAAAUGGGGAAUCUGCGAGAUUGGUCCUUCUCCUUUGCAACUUCAUUCGAUCAGGCCCCAGCUUCUGUUUUCUUUUGUUUUUUUAAUUUAGCUCUUAGAUUUCGCUUGGGUUACAUUCGGGUCCUUUGAAACACUGCACAUAGGGGUUGAGAAUAUUUUCCCAAUCAGUCCCUCGUUCUUUAUGCGUAUUUCAUUUCGGUCCUUAGUGGCCCCUUUUCUUUUUUUUAUUUACAAUUUGCACCUUAAAUCUUAAUUAAAUUUCAGCUUAGUCCUAAUAUAUUUAAUUUGUUCAUUUAUUUAUUAUUUCAAUUUUUUUAGGAGCUAUUUUACUGUUAGUUAUUUUAAAUUUGUUUAUCUUACAUUAUUUAUAUUAGACCAUUUUAUUAUUAAUUAUUGUAAAUUGUUAUUGGUUUUAAAUAUUUUUUACAUAUAUUAUUUGUUUUAACCCCUAUACAUAUUACUUAUUUUGAAAUAUUUUAUACGUUAUUUGUUUUAAACUAUUAUAUAUGUAUUUUCCAUUUUGAGUUUCUUUUCAUACUUUAUUUAGUUACACUAUUCUAAUCGUUUAAAAUUCAUCUUUUUUUAAUUUCCCAUAUAUUAUUUAUUUUAAUAUAUUCUUUACUUUAGAUUAUUUUAUAUAUGUCCUAUUCUAAAUUUUCAUGUGUAAUAUUUAAUUUAAACUGUUUUAUAUGUUAUUUACUUUAAAUUUUUAUAUAUUAUUUAAUUUAAAUUUCUUUUUACAUAUUAUUAUUUUGAGCUCUUAAUAUUUAUUUUAAAUUUCUUUAUAUAUUAUUCUAAACUUGUCUUUACGUAUAUUUAUUUAAAAUUGUCUUAUACAACUUAUUUUAAACUCUCUUAUUUGUUUAAAAUUGUUUUAUUAUUGUUCAUUUUGGUUUUUUUUGACAUAGUAUUUAUUAUAUAUAUCAUCUAUUUUAAAUUGAUUUGUAUAUUGUCGAUUUUAAAUCUCUUUUUUUCACAUUAUUUUAAUCCCAUUUAUUGUCAUUUUAAAAUGGUUUUACAUCUUAUUCAUUUUUAUUUGCUUUAUACCUUUUAAAUUAUUAUUAAAUUCAUUUGCCUUUAAUUGUUGAGGUUAACAUUUAAAUAAUGUACCUUGUGUGAUUAUUGCCAUUGUGUGAAUUUUGAUUCGUUUAUUUCGAAAUUUUGCAUUACUGUUUUUCAUUUGUAUAAUGUUGUGUCCAUUUAUAUUUGUCUCAUAUUCAUUACUAUAUUUUCAUAUCAUCACCUCGUGAAUCAAGCCUCGUUGCAUUUAUCCAAUAAAUCGCUUUAUUUUAACCUAAACAAAUAACAUACGUCGUUUAAAUGUCGUAUUCGCUACUAUUCAAAAACAAAAAUUUCAAAAUAAGGCAAUAUUUCGCGUUUUGAAGCAUCGAAGAAUUGUGCCCUAACUUACGGGGUUUUGGUUCUCUCGUUGAUUCUAAAUAGUUAAAUAUCCCUUUGAGUUUAAAAUACACGGAAUUCCAAUUGGAAUUAAAGACAAGCCUGCGCUCGGGAAUUCAUGGUAACGUGUCCUAACUUACGGGAUGUGAUACUCCGAUAUCUCGAGACGAGGAAAUCUUUAACGAUCGUUUUGAGCUAAUUCAAGUGUUUUCUUUUCUUAAAAAUUAUCGCUAAUAAAAAAGGAUCGUAUUUUAAAUUCGUUCUCGAUAUUCAAUUUUUGACAUUAAAACACUAACUAAUCAAUCCGGUACCAAUUUUUGGGCGUGUCGAGGGUGCUAACCCUUCCUCGAGCGUAAUCAACUCCCGAACUUGUUCUCUUGAAUUUAGUAGACCAAAAUGUCGUUUUAAUAAACUAAAUUUUUUUAUCUAAAACAAAGGUGAUUUGAUCACACCAAAUAAAGAUCGGUGGCAACUCUAAUUUUAAUUAUCAUUUUCAAACCAAAGUCGAUUCCUGCGUUUUCAAAAAAAUGGUUUCGACAGCUUGGCGACUCCACUGGGGACUUUGAGAGUCGAGCCAUAAAUUGAUUGAUUUUUGUCCUUUGUCGAAAAUUGAAAACUCGUUUUUAAACUUAUGAUCCCUUUAUUGCAUUUUAUCCGUUUUUUACGGUUUACAUUAUUUUUCCUAUUUUCUUUAUUGCCUCGGGUUUUUCUUAUCAUAUAUCCUCGCACAUUGCAUUGCAUGACCGCUGUGGUCACACCUUUUAAGUGGGAGUGAGAAGCUAUGCCUUCAUGAGGUUUUCACCUCCGCAUGGGCUAGUGGAUCGCUUUCGGGAUACAUCCGUACCUAUGUCUUCGUGAGAUUUUCAUCUCCGUGCAGCCAUAGGGAAAUAUAUUCCCUUGAACUGAACUCUAUCCAUAUGAGCCUAUAACGGGUGAAGAUCGAGGAAUCUGCUGGUUCGGGUACCUUUACUCUAGAACCGAGCCACAUAUAGAGAGACCUAGGAGCUUACCCUAGGUAGAGCUACUCCAAACCCCUAGUGGUCACCCGAAUAGGUGCUUUAUUUGUUAUUUAUUUCUCCUGUACUAACGUGUUUUGUUUUUGUUUUGAUGAUAACUGCAUUGCAUUACAUCAUUAUAGAAAGGAGGUGUUGAUUCAUAUCCGAUUGCUAAAUAGAACAGUUUGUCAUAAGAAAUGAAUUUCUUGAUAAAGUGGAUUUUAACACGGUUGUCUAAAUAUGGUCCAAGUAAACACAAUGAAGGAAGAUUGAUAGUCCAUGAAGAAAUACACGACUUUGCUUCAUCGCCUGAGGAUUUAAGUUAACAAAGAUUAUUCGAGAGCCGUCAUGUCUUAAAGAAGCUAACGAGCAUCGCGGGGAUAAAUAAGCAAUGGGCCGCAAUCUAGAUCGAGCAGAAAGGAAAUAAUAGAGACAUAUUUUGAAAAAUUCACAAGACUCGACGAUAAUAUCCGGAUAUGAAGAGGAAGAUAGGUGUCUUCGCUUGGAAUAUGAGAGAAAUGCCGUAUAUGUAAUCCGUUUUAUGUAAAGGAAUUUGUUUUCUAGAGAAGUUGUUCUAAUGAAAUUGAAUUCAGAAUAAACACAUUCCUUUCUUUUGCAUUCAUUCCAUGCAUUUGCAUUUGCAUUGCAUUAUUUGCAUUGGACUUUCCCUAAAAGAACCCUAAUUAGGUAAAAUUAUUUCAGUUAACCUGGGAACUGAUAAAAGUCAAGCAACUAGGCAUCUUUACAGUACAAGGAAAAGGAAAAAAGAUAUGGAUCAAAUAUUGAAAAGACUGGAAAAACUUCAAAAAGAGAUGCAAGACCAGUUACAACUGCAAAUGCAAGAGCAACUAGCGAAGAUCCAGCAAGAUAUGAGGGACUGAAUGAUAGAGUCCCAAAGGAAUAUGAUGAAUCAGUUGUCCCAAGUACUGACUAAGGGGCUAGGAAAAGAAAAAAACUCGAUGAUCAAUGUUGGAGAGGACAAUGAGGAGCCUCUGUACCCUCUGAGUUUCACCCCGAUAAAUGAUCAGAUAUGUCCGCAAAAUGUACCUGUUGCUAUCAGAUCACAACAACAUCAGGUCGGUACCUCAGCACCCAUGAACUACCCGACGGGCUCAGGUUCCAAUCCAAGGAACAGUCCAACCAAUCAUGAAGUUCCUGAUCUAAACGAAAUGGCAGGAAUAGAAAAAACAAAGGUUGAACUGCCAAGACAACUCGAAGAUCGAUACAAGUGGUUGGAAGAAAAACUUAGAGCGAUGGAGAAUAUUGAUUAACAUCGCGGGGUUAAUGCCAAAGAUCUCAACUUAGUCCCAGAUUUAGUACUCCCGCCAAAAUUCAAGACUCCAGAAUUUGAAAAAUAUAAUGGGACUAGUUGUCCUAAAGCUUACAUCAUGAUGUUCUGCCAAAAAAUGACAGGUUACGUUGAUAACAAUCAACUGUUAAUUCAUUGCUUCCAAGAUAGUCUGAUUGGGUCAGCGGCCAAAUGGUACAACCAACUGAGUCGUGCCAAAAUUCAUUCAUGGAAGGACUUAGCACAAGCUUUCAUGAAGCAAUAUGGCCACGUGACAGACAUGACGCCUGACAGAAUUACACUACAGAAUAUGGAAAAGAAGUAAAGUGAGAGCUUUAGACAAUAUGCCCAAAGAUGGAGAGAGGUAGCGGCGCAAGUCCAACCACCUCUUUUGGAGAAAGAAACUACGAUGUUUUUCGUCAACACUCUGAAAGCCCCAUUCAUUACCCAUAUGUUGGGAAGCGUUACCAUGAGCUUCUCAGAUAUAGUAAUGUUCGGCGAGAUGAUUGAAAACACAAUCAGGAGCUGGAAGAUAGACGCAAGAGAAAGCGCCAAAAGGUCAACCCCAAAUAGAAAUGAAAAUGAAGUGAAUAAUAUGAGCAAAGGGUACCCUAAAUUGAUCAACAUAGGCCAGACGAGGCAGGAAUCCAACUCGAGGCUGAAUACAGAAAGGCUCUAGUUUACACUCAUCCCAAUGUCAUAUGAGGAGUUGUAUCAAAAUCUCUUUGAUGUACAUGUUGUGUCUCUGUUUUACUCAGAACCUGUGCAACCUCUGUUCCCAAAAUGGUAUAAUGAGAAUGCUCAAUGCGAGUACCACGCAGGAAUAACGGGACACUCAAUCGAAAACUACACUACAUUUAAAAAGUUGGUCGAAAGGUUCAUUGAAAUGGGAAUUGUGAAGUUCGACGAUUCCUCAAAGCCUAAUCGUUCUGACAAUACAGUAAAUGUGACAUUUGCAAGUGAGAGCAAAAGAGUUGCGAUGCCUUGAACAAAGCCUGGAAAGAAUAUUGGAGAAUCUGAAUGACUUAUCCGAAGAAGGAAUCGGGUAAUAAAAGUUUCCAAACCCUUGCAUUACUUAGAAGUGUUUUGAACAAUGAGACUGUGGAAGAGAUUCCUUUAUUCUUUGAGCUAAUCUAGAGUAAUAUUCAAAACACGCUUGUUGCUUUAAGCCUAGAAGCAAUUAGACCCCUUUUGUGAAAUAGGCUUGUGUCCUAAGUCUUUAUUUCAAUAAAAUGCAUCUUUUUGAGCAAAUAUUCUUUUAUUUUAUUUCAUAUUGUACAAAUAAUCGUUCUUAGAUUCGUUUGUUCUUUGGACUUUCUUUCAAAUAUUCAUGUAUACUUCAUUCAUGGUCAUACCAUAUAAAUAAUCAUCCUUAGAAUCUGCCUUCAGCGGGUCCCUAGAUAUCAAUGAUGUGAGUAACGCUGUCACUGACUCCGAGUCUCAUUUUGAGCGAAAUAUGGGCCUAAAGGGAUCUUAACACUUUGAAGAUGAUAGAGAUGUAGACAACUCCCUAAUUUGUUAAGGAUGGUAGAGUAAGAUGAAAACAGAUCAUCUCUUACAAAAAGUCAGUGGAUAGUAGGCCUAGGACAAGAGAAAGAUGCAAACAUCAGAGUCUGUAUCACCACAAAGGCAAAGCGAGACAUCAUUGAAUCACUUCCAAGAAUUUAAAGAUUUUUUGCACGAUCGUAUCAAGAUACGCCGGGUUACUAAGACAUGAGGAUGUUGUAAGGUUUUGAAUGACAUAUGCUAAUGGUUUUAUGAUGGCCAGGCUAAUCAUGAGAUUUGGGUUUUGUUGGUCCUCCGUAAAGGGAUUGCAUCAGUAUGCCGUAAGUGCCAAAUUUAUGGAGAGAAAAUUCAUGUUCCCCUUCAUUCUUUCAAUUUUCUCUAUGUGGGGCAUGGAGGUUAUUGGGUUGAUCUCGUUGAAAGCUUCUAACAAGCAUCAAUUACUUCACCUAGAGGGUGAGAGUCGCUUCAUAUGCCAAUCAUCAAAUCCUGAAAAAAAAAAGAUCAUGGAAAAAUGACUGAGACUUGUAAAGAUUGGCAUAAGAAGUCAUCAUGUACCCUCUAUACUCAUCAAACGUUGGCCAAGACCUUCGCCGGGGCAACAUAUUUCAUUAGUCUAUGGGAUAAAAAUGGUUUUGAAGAAGAGUUUCCUUGUCUCUGAAUCUUGAAAAAGUUGAAGUUGGAUAAGGCAAAAUGGAUCUAAUCCCGAUAUGAUCAGUUGAAUUUAAAGAAAAGAGGUUGAAAGCCAUCUGUCAUGGUUCAAUGAAUGAUGUGAGCUUACGAUAGAAAAGUUCCAUGAGGGAAAACUUGAUAUUGAAGAAUAUCCCUCCUAUACAAAAGGACUUCAGAGGAAAGUGGAUGUCAAACUAGGAAAGACCUUAUAUAGUAAAGAAGGCCUGUUCUGGAAGAGCAUUAAUUCUAGUCUAAAUGAAUGGCAAAGAUUUGCCCAAUCCGAUGAAUUUAAAUCCAAUCAAGGAGUAUUCUACCUAAAAAGAAAGAGGCCAAGAUGAAAACCCACAAAGGGCGCAUUAAAAAAAAAAAGAGGCCAAUGUGAAAACUCGCAAAGGGCACCUUGAGACCAAAUGGAUUUUGAAUUGAAAACUCGAAAAGGGCGGCUCAAAUUUGGAUCAAAGUGGGGUAUGCAGCUGUCUUGCUAUGCCUGAAUUAACAAUGAAGAAGUAUGUUACGUCUUGGGGCAUCGACGAAGUACUCCGGAUCCUCUAAACACAUAUUGAGCUCAGAAAGGUCCUCAAGAAGUUGGUACAGAGAAGCUCAAGCUGCGAUAUCUGGGGCACCUAGCUUCCAUUUUGCCCAUUUUUGAAUUUUUUAUCUUUGAUUAUCUUAUUAUUUUCAAGAUAUGUCCCGAUAAAUUUCCUUCUUAUUGCAUUGCUAUAUUUGAUUAACUUAUUCAUUUUGAGUUAAUUUCCUCCUUAUUGCAUUUGCAAUCUUUGAUUAAUUUAUUCAUUUCGAGCUAUGCUCCCAAUCAAUUUCCUUCUUGUCCAUUGUUUUAAUCUUUUUCUAGCAUUUUGCAUUGAAAUAACGAUUAAUGGACCAAUAAUACUUUCACAAAAGAAGUUCUGCAUAUUACUUUGGAAGCUUCUAAAUAGUACAAGAGCCCGAAACAGGACUAUUAUUCAGAACUCACCAAGCCCAAGGGUUGGAAAUAUUUAAGCCCAAAUUGAAAUUAUCUCAUUGGGUUUUCUGUCAAAGAUAUUGGUUGAGCAAAAAGAAAUUACAUUGGUGUUAUAAUCCUGGCAAAGAACGAGCAAUGGGAUUAUUUUCGGGAAAAGAAAAAUGAUACUCUGCAUUUAUACAAAUAUCAGGCGUAUACAUCUGGUCAUUACACUCAGGGAAUAGUGUAACAGAUCAAACUGAUUGAAGAUGAUACAAAUCCUGUACCUUUGAGUUGCAGCAGGAUGGAUGGAAGAAACCAAAUGUUGUUCACCUGAAAUUGCAGUGGGAAGCACAAACUUUAUGUCCCAGAAGGUACAGUGGAAGGGACUUUGAAAUUACAGCGAGGCAAGCUUGCUAAGCAAAAUGUGAUUGUUUCUUUGACUUUUCUGUCAAGAAUACCAGCCGAAUAAGAUGGCAGCAUAAUACGUCAGUGGUAAUGUCUUGAUGAACAACGAGCGAUGAUACCUUAAGCCUUUUUAAAGGGAUCAUUUUCAUUAUAUAUCAUCCAUAACACAUCUAAUUAGGAGCAUUUGAUUCAUUUCGAUCAUAGCAUCCUAAUUAUUUGACACAUUCACAACACAUCUAGUUAGGAGCAUUUGAUUCAUUUCAAUCAUAACAUCCUAAUCAUUUGACAUAAGCAUAGAUAUAUAGAACUGAUUCUACAGGUCAUGUCCCUAGAAUCAGUGACUUCACCAAGCCUUAACCCCCUAAGCAGUAGGCUAAUAGGCUAAAAAUUACGAAUCUAGACUUGCAGUGAGGCAGAUUCAAGCCACCAAGCCUUAACCCCCUAAGCAGUAGGGUAAUAGGCUGAGAAUUACAUAUCUUGUCUCCCUGAAGUUACGGUGGAACAGAUCGAAUCCAGCGAAUCUUAUCUUCCUGAAGUUGUAGUGAAGUAGAUUGAAGUCACUAGUCUUGUCUCCCUGAAGUUGCAGUGGAACAGAUCAAAAACGGUGAGCCUUAAACCCCUAAGCAGUAGGGUAACAGGCUGAAUUUACAGAUCUUAUCACCCUAAGCAGUAGGGAAACAGAUAGAAGACGGUAGAUCUUGUCUCCCUAAAGUUGUAGUGGAGCAGAUCGAAUACAGUGAAUCUUGUCUUCCUGAAGUUGCAGUGAAGCAGAUUGAAGUCACUAGUCUUGUCUCCCUGAAGUUGCAAUGGAACAAAUCGAAGACGGUGAGCCUUAAACCCCUAAGCAGUAGGGUAAAAGGCUGAAUUUACAGAUCUUAUCACCCUAAGUAGUAGGGAAAUAGAUCGAAGAAGGUAGAUCUUGUCUCCCUGAAGUUUCAGUGGAGCAGAUCGAAUACAGCGAAUCUUGUCUUCCUGAAGUUGUAGUGAAGCAGAUUGAAGUCACUAGUCUUAUCUCCCUAAAGUUGCAGUGGAGCAGACUGAAGAUAGUAAAUCUUAUUUCCCUGAAUUUGCAGUGGAACAGAUUGAAGCUAAAUUACAGAUCUUAUCUCUCUGAAGUUGCAGUAGAGCAGAUCAUCACAAAUCUUAUCUCUCUGAAGUUGCAGCGGAGCAGACUAAAGAUAACAAAUCUUAUCUCCCUAAAGUUGCAGUGGAAUAGAUUAAAGCUAAAUUACGGAUCUUAUCUCUCUAAAGUUGCAGUAGAGCAGAUCAAAACAAACCUUAUCUCCCUGUAGUUGCAGUGGAGCAGUGGAUUGGAAUGAGGCUAUUUGAAGAAGAUAACCACCAAAGGAAGUCGAGACUCGGCAAGACCAGUCAAAAUUGGCCCUUUUGAAGUCUUUGCUUCAUUCUUGUUACUCGACAAUGAGCAAAGAGGGGCAGCUGUAAUGGCCAAUUUUGACCCGGGCACAAGAAUAAAACAAUAAAUAACCAAUUAAUAAAACCUAGUGCCGCCCCUAACCUCUGCCACCAGCUGCCAUGGCAGCACCACCACCUGCUCCCGUUCCAUCGCCUGCAAACAGAGAAAAAGAAGCACGCAAUAGAGAACCAAAACCCACAUGCAACAAUAAAGGAACAAGCAGAAACGACAAAAAAAAUAGGAGUAAACAAGUCUUGUGAAUCGGUUAUAAAAACCCGAAAUUUACCUUUGUAUUUUUUUUAGCCACAAACAAAAGGCAGAAACUAUUAAUCUAAAAGAGAUUUUAAGGUGAUUUUUGGUUUUUACAAUAGUUUCUUUCAUCUAGUUCUUGGUUUUGAUUUCAUUUUUUUUUCGUGUUUUAGUUCUUUUUUCUUUUUCAUGUACGAAAAUAAAUGAAAAGGUAAAGAGAAAGGUAACCUCACCUUGAUCUUUCUACGGACUCAUCGCUGGAGAUCUCUUCUCCAAUCGCCGAAGUCGAACCGGGGAGAGGGGGGACCUUUCUUUCGAUUUCUUUGGGGUUGAGAAGUCAUGGCCUUCGAAUGUGCC